rnacentral:lncRNA from 1 species
ACAAACUUCUCAGUAUGCUGUAUUUUCAUUUUUUAAAAUUACAGGGAUUUUUCCUGCUGGGACUGAAUAAUGCUGUUGACUGCAGCUGACCAUUUGAAGUUAGGAGGAUUUAAUUACUUCAUUGAAAGACUGAUUUUAGGACACCUGUGCCCUAUUAGCAACAGGUCAAGUAAGAUGGAAAAUGGAGUGAGAGGAAGAUGGUGGUUGGCCUGAAUUUUCCAGAUGCUUGGAGAGUUUCACGUGCACAAUAGAAAAAAAUAUUAGGAUAAACAGUGCUUUAGAAAUUAUGGGUAAGUCAGUAAUUGAUGCAGCUAUUAUUAUGGAGAAUUUUUAGCAUGUCCAUAGAAGAGCAUUUGUCUGGCUAAGAAGUAAAAUCACCAAACUACUAAACUGAUGCUAAGAACCAAAGCUUUAAAUCAACUAGAUUAAACCUCCCCAGGGAUUCUUGAGUUAUAAAGAUAAGUGCUUUUCAAGUCAGAACAUCUGUUUUUAUCCAGACUUACUAUAGAUAAUCAUACACACAAGAGAUAAGAUAGAUAGACAAGAGACUGUGAUACAUGAUUUAUAGACACACAUGUCAAUUCAACAACAUUUUUGCACUCUAGGGAUACUAACAGAGUUAAUGUACUUCUGUGGGGCUAGCUGUUGUUUAGAGGCAGCAGGAAUCACACCACAUAAGGAAACCUAGUGUGAGGUUACUGACUUAGGUUAAUUACUGGCUAGUUUAAUUUGAAAAUAGCUCUGUGCAGUUAGGUAGAUUGAAACAUUUCUAAUUAUGUGUGUAAAGCAAUAUUUCUGGUUUCAGUUUUAAAAACCUG